rnacentral:rRNA from 1 species
GAUGAACGCUGGCGGCGUGCCUAAUACAUGCAAGUCGAGCGAAAAGACGCGGCGCUUGCUCCUCUGUCGUUAGCGGAGGACGGGAGUGUCACAUGUGGAUCCCGUCCUUAUCUGUCUGGGAACUUCUGGGAACUCGGGCGAAUACCCGGUAUAAUCUCCUGCUCCACGGUGUUCGUUGGAAAAUGUCGGUUUUUGGGGAUGUACUCGCUGCGUAUUCGCUAGUUGGGAUGGUAGCGGCUUACCAAGGUUACGACGGGUAGCCGACCUGAGAGGGUGAUCGGCCACACUGGAACUGAGACACGGUCCAGACUCCUACGGGAGGCAGCAGUAGGGAAUCUGCCGCAAUGGGCGAAAGCCUGACGGAGCAACGCCGCGUGAGUGAUGAAGGUCUUCGGAUCGUAAAACUCUGUUAUGAGGGAAGAACAAAUUUGGAAGUAACUAUGCACGUCGUGACGGUACCUAAUCAGAAAGCCACGGCUAACUACGUG